rnacentral:rRNA from 1 species
UACGUAGGGUGCAAGCGUUAAUCGGAAUUACUGGGCGUAAAGCGUGCGCAGGCGGCUUUGCAAGACAGAUGUGAAAUCCCCGGGCUUAACCUGGGAACUGCAUUUGUGACUGCAUGGCUGGAGUGCGGCAGAGGGGGAUGGAAUUCCGCGUGUAGCAGUGAAAUGCGUAGAUAUGCGGAGGAACACCGAUGGCGAAGGCAAUCCCCUGGGCCUGCACUGACGCUCAGGAGCGAAAGCGUGGGGAGCGAUCCGG